rnacentral:tRNA from 1 species
GGGGAUAUAGCUCAGUCUGGGAGAGCGCUUGACUGGCAGUCAAGAGGUCAGGGGUUCGAGUCCCCUUAUCUCCACCA